rnacentral:rRNA from 1 species
AGCUACAGGCUUAACACAUGCAAGUCGAGGGGCAGCAUGGUCUUAGCUUGCUAAGGCCGAUGGCGACCGGCGCACGGGUGAGUAACACGUAUCCAACCUGCCGUCUACUCUUGGACAGCCUUCUGAAAGGAAGAUUAAUACAAGGUGGCAUCAUGAGUCCACAUGUUCACAUGAUUAAAGGUAUUCCGGUAGACGAUGGGGAUGCGUUCCAUUAGAUAGUAGGCGGGGUAACGGCCCACCUAGUCUUCGAUGGAUAGGGGUUCUGAGAGGAAGGUCCCCCACAUUGGAACUGAGACACGGUCCAAACUCCUACGGGAGGCAGCAGUGAGGAAUAUUGGUCAAUGGGCGAGAGCCUGAACCAGCCAAGUAGCGUGAAGGAUGACUGCCCUAUGGGUUGUAAACUUCUUUUAUAAAGGAAUAAAGUCGGGUAUGCAUACCCGUUUGCAUGUACUUUAUGAAUAAGGAUCGGCUAACUCCGUGCCAGCAGCCGCGGUAAUACGGAGGAUCCGAGCGUUAUCCGGAUUUAUUGGGUUUAAAGGGAGCGUAGAUGGAUGUUUAAGUCAGUUGUGAAAGUUUGCGGCUCAACCGUAAAAUUGCAGUUGAUACUGGAUAUCUUGAGUGCAGUUGAGGCAGGCGGAAUUCGUGGUGUAGCGGUGAAAUGCUUGGAUAUCACGAAGAACUCCGAUUGCGAAGGCAGCCUGCUAAGCUGCAACUGACAUUGAGGCUCGAAAGUGUGGGUAUCAAACAGGAUUAGAUACCCUGGUAGUCCACACGGUAAACGAUGAAUACUCGCUGUUUGCGAUAUACUGCAAGCGGCCAAGCGAAAGCGUUAAGUAUUCCACCUGGGGAGUACGCCGGC